rnacentral:misc_RNA from 1 species
UCCUCGUUUAAGCGAGGCAGUCUGUCCAGAGUGCUUCGAACUCUCGUCCGAGUGGCAACAGGACACAAGGGUUGCGCUCGUUGCGGGACUUAACCCAACAUCUCACGACACGAGCUGACGACAGCCAUGCACCACCUGUAUACCGACCACAAGGGGGGCCGUAUCUCUACGGCUUUCCGGUAUAUGUCAAACCCAGGUAAGGUUCUUCGCGUUGCCUCGAAUUAAGCCACAUGCUCCGCCGCUUGUGCGGGUCCCCGUCAAUUCCUUUGAGUUUUAAUCUUGCGACCGUACUCCCCAGGCGGAGAGCUUAAUGCGUUAGCUGCGUCACCGACACGCAUGCGUGCCGACAACUAGCUCUCAUCGUUUACGGCGUGGACUAC